rnacentral:rRNA from 1 species
GACGAACGCUGGCGGCGUGCUUAACACAUGCAAGUCGAACGGAAAGGCCCUGCUUUUGUGGGGUGCUCGAGUGGCGAACGGGUGAGUAACACGUGAGUAACCUGCCCUUGACUUUGGGAUAACUUCAGGAAACUGGGGCUAAUACCGGAUAGGAGCUCCUGCUGCAUGGUGGGGGUUGGAAAGUUUCGGCGGGUGGGGAUGGAUCCGCGGCUUAUCAGCUUGUGGGGGGGGUAGUGGCUUACCAAGGCUUGGACGGGUAGCCGGCCCUGGAGGGUGAACGGCCACAAUGGGACUGAGGGACGGACCAGACUCGUACGGGGGGCAGUAGUGGGGAAUAUUGCACAAUGGGCCGAAGCCUGAUGCAGCAGCGCCGCGUGCGUGAAGACGGCCUUCGGGUUGUAAACCGCUUUCGCCUGUGACGAAGCGUGAGCGACGGUAAUGGGUAAAGAAGCACCGGCUAACUACGUG